AAUGAACGCUGGCGGCGCGCCUAAUACAUGCAAGUCGAGCGAGAAGACGUAGCAAUACGUUUGUAAAGCGGCGAACGGGUGAGGAAUACAUGGGUAACCUACCCUCGAGUGGGGAAUAACUAGCCGAAAGGUUAGCUAAUACCGCGUACGCUUCUUGGACUUCGGUUCAGGGAGGAAAGCGAUGCCGAGGGUAUCGCGCUCUUGGAUGGGCUCAUGUCCUAUCGA
rnacentral:rRNA from 1 species